GAUGAACGCUGGCGGCGUGCCUAAUACAUGCAAGUCGAGCGAACAGACGAGGAGCUUGCUCCUCUGACGUUAGCGGAGGACGGGUGAGUAACACGUGGAUCACCCCCCUAUCAGUCUGGGAUAACCUCGGGAAACCGGCGCUAAUACCGGAUCAUAUCUUGAACCGCAUGGUUCAAUAGUGAAAGACGGCUUUGCUGUAUCUUAUCGAUGGUUCCGAGCCGCAUUAGCUAGUUGGUAAGGUAAAGGCUUACCACGGCAGCGAUGUGUAGCCGACGUGCGAGGGUGAUCGGCCACACGGGAAGUGAGACACGGUCCAGACGACUGCGAGAGGCAGCAGAAGGGAAUCUUCCGCAAUGGGCGGAAGCCUGACGGAGCAACGCCGCGUGAGUGAUGAAGGUCUUCGGAGCGUAAAACUCUGUUAUGAGUGAAGAACAAAUGUGGAAUUAGCUGUGCACGGCGUGACGGUACCGGAUCAGAAAGCCACGGCUAACUACGUG
rnacentral:rRNA from 1 species